rnacentral:rRNA from 1 species
UACGAAGGUCCCAAGCGUUAUCCGGAUUUAUUGGGUUUAAAGGGUGCGUAGGCGGGCUAUUAAGUCAGUGGUGAAAUCCCCCGGCUUAACCUGGGAACUGCGUCUGAUACUGGGAGGCUAGAGUGCGGGAGAGGGAUGCGGAAUUCCAGGUGUAGCGGUGAAAUGCGUAGAUAUCUGGAGGAACACCGGUGGCGAAGGCGGCAUCCUGGACCGACACUGACGCUCAUGCACGAAAGCGUGGGGAGCAAACAGG